rnacentral:rRNA from 1 species
GACGAACGCUGGCGGCGUGCUUAACACAUGCAAGUCGAACGGAAAGGCCCUUCGGGGUACUCGAGUGGCGAACGGGUGAGUAACACGUGGGUGAUCUGCCCUGCACUUUGGGAUAAGCCUGGGAAACUGGGUCUAAUACCGAAUAGGACCGCAUGCUUCAUGGUGUGUGGUGGAAAGCUUUUGCGGUGUGGGAUGGGCCCGCGGCCUAUCAGCUUGUUGGUGGGGUAAUGGCCUACCAAGGCGACGACGGGUAGCCGGCCUGAGAGGGUGACCGGCCACACUGGGACUGAGAUACGGCCCAGACUCCUACGGGAGGCAGCAGUGGGGAAUAUUGCACAAUGGGCGCAAGCCUGAUGCAGCGACGCCGCGUGAGGGAUGACGGCCUUCGGGUUGUAAACCUCUUUCAGCAGGGACGAAGCGCAAGUGACGGUACCUGCAGAAGAAGGACCGGCCAACUACGUGCCAGCCGCCGCAGUAA